AAAUAACAACAACAAACAUAAAACAUAAAAUACAAACAAUGAUGGAAAUGCUGGUUGAGAAUAUGAGUGUGAAAACCUGAUGUGGAACAGAGUGGUGGUCUGGAGACGUAAAAGUCUUUUCACCUGAAGCAGCAGAUAAUCUGAUAAAUUUGGAAUAUUGGUCAGAAGGCCAAUUGUAAUCAUGAAACACCCGUUUAGAGACAGAAGCUUGAUACCUCCAGUUCCUUGGCGGGUGCAGCAGCGUCUGGAGUUGGGAGACGAGGCCUUCAGCUUGAGUUGGAUCAGGGUGGCAGUUGGAGUGGAUACAUUGGACCAAAGUGGGAGAUUCUAUGGUCUUCAGAAAGUCUCAGAAAGUUUUAGAAAGUCUCAGAAAGUCUCUUUCGGGUGAAAUGCCUUUUAAUAGUAAACCUACUGACCAAUCAGAGCGAGCUCCACUCCCAGAGGGGCUGUUAGAUAUGACGUCCCAGUAUCACCGGGAGGUCGUGAGGUGGUCAGAGUUUACUCUGAAAGUAAUAAUGUUCCUUCAGAACUAUAUGUACUUUCAAUUAUACAAAGUUAAGCUUGUUGGAAAUGAAUGUGUCACAUGUAGAGCUUCAUGGGGAGUCUAAACAUGAUAAAUCUGUCUCUGACGGUUACAGAAAUAACACAAUGCUCAGGAUAUGGUUAUAUAACAAGCUGAUCAAUUAAAGAAGGACUUAUCCAACUGUAAUUAAGCUUUGGGGUAUUUAUCAGGACAUGAUAUAUCUAAACAUGUAACAACUAAACUUAACAUAAGAUAAUAAGGCACAUCCUCUGGUACUGUGUCCUAUUGUUCAUUCAUAAGUUCAGUUGUUGCAUGCCACAGGACAUGAGGGGUCAGCAGAGCAAUACGAUAAGCCCGGGGCACUUCAUUGCACCCGGCCAUCUGGGCCAUCUGUUAAGGUCUGCAUGGUUGAAUGUUUUUCUUUGUCUUCCCCCAAAAGCUUCUGUGUGUUCGAUCCUCUGAAGCUGUGAUAGGUGUGAUAAGGGAAGUCCUAAGUGGGCUCUGCUUGUCCUGGCUCUGGCUUCCCCCAGUCGGCAGAGCUGAUUUACAUGACCCUGUGGCCUGCAGAAUAGUUCUGUCUUUUAUGACAUGUGACUGGAUGCUGGAAAGUUCAAAUGAAGCCUCUGGAAUCCUUCUGGCAUCUGUGUCUGUCCAUAUCCUACAACACUCAUUCACACACCAUGAGGAAUCCCUUCAUGUAUCUGAAGCAGUAGUUGUAAUUUGUGUAUUAAUUAUGUUUGUCCAUUUUUCAGGGCAAAUCACAAUUCCCAGUCCUUUGGUGCCUUUUCAUAGUUUGUUCAAUGGCCUCCCAGUUCGACUAUGCACUUGCAUUUUAUUAUAAAUCCACCUUAAAAACACUUACACCAUAGCCAGCCAGGUGUGACAGGUCGGGGUCUGCAGUAGUGACUGUAGUACUGUGUGUACUUGCACUGCGUUUACAGGAAACCAGGUGUGACAGGUCGAGGUCUGUAUGAACUGCGUCCUGAGUGGAACAAACACUUCAACCUGUACUUCCAUCACUACAGCAGAGCCGACCAGUCCAAGGCUGAGGAGGCUCAGAGGAAGCUGAGGAGACAGAACGGGGAGGACACAGCCCUGCCCCCCCCUCUCCCGCCCCCCCUCUGUCCUCUGUUCGGCAGCCUGGUGAACCUGCUGCAGUGCGACGUGCUGCUGGCUGUAGAGGGCGCUGUGCUGCAGUGGGCCGUGGAGCCCAGCGGGGGCGGCUGGACGGAGUCCAUGCUGCAGAGGGUACUCCACCUGGUGGGCAUGGCUUUACUGGAGGAGCAGCAGCAGCUGGAGAACAGCAGCGCAGACGACGACAUCACCUUCAACUACACCUGCAAGAUCA